AUGGAGCCAACCAGAUCACCACUAGUUUUGCUCGUGGCGCAAGCCGUACUCGCUGCGGCGAUGCUGCAACAACCAUCAGAAGGGAGGGUGCAGGCAGUGGCGCCAUCAGCGCCACAUCUCGCCGGAGGCAAAGAAGCUGAAGUAGCAGCCGCUACCUCCUCGCCGGCUUCACCAUUCACCGGCGACACGCCAUUAGUUUUGCUCGUGGCGUACGCCGUACUCGCGGAGGCGAUGCUGCAACCAUCAGAGACGAGGGUACAGGCGGCUACCUCCUCGCCUUCUUCACAGUUCACCGGUGACCCGCCACGGCCCUCCCUCCCGGGCUUGCCGCCUCUACCUGGCUUGCCCGCGUUACCGCCGUCGCCGGGCUUCCCGGGCAUGGCAGGCGCGCAGUCGUCUCCUUCGCCUUCGCAGCAGCCGGCCAAAACAUGCUUGGAGCCGCUGAUACUUGCGGAACCGUGCGUCAGUUACCUGACGAACUCCAGCGUGCCGGCGCCGCCGAGAACGUGCUGCGACGGCUUCAGGUCGCUCGUCGGCGGCGGCGACAGGAUUUGCCUGUGCCACGCCAUCAUGGGCGACCUGGGUACAUUUGCAGGCGGGACGAUAGACCAGCACGUCGCCGGAGCUUCUUCUGAUGUGCAUCGGCAAGUCUGA
rnacentral:rRNA from 1 species